rnacentral:rRNA from 1 species
ACUACCUAGUUUUGGGGCACGUCCUGGGAGUGGUACAAAAGGAGCAAUCCGCUGUAAGAUGGCUUCGCGUCCGAUUAGACAGUUGGCGGGGUAACGGCCCACCAAAUCUACGAUCGGUAGCCGGACUGAGAGGUUGAACGGCCACAGUUGGGACUGAGACACCGGCCCAGACUCCGUACGGGGAGGCAGCAGUGGGGGAUAUUGCACAAUGGAGGAAACUCUGAUGCAGCGACGCCGCGUGAGGGAAGAAGGUUUUCGGAUUGUAAACCUCUGUCUUCGGUGACGAAAAUGACGGUAGCCGAGGAGGAAGCCACGGCUAACUACGUGCC